CACGGGAGCUUGCUCCUGGUGGCGAGUGGCGAACGGGUGAGUAAUGCAUCGGAACGUGCCCUGAAGUGGGGGAUAACGUAGCGAAAGUUACGCUAAUACCGCAUAUUCUGUGAGCAGGAAAGCAGGGGAUCUUCGGACCUUGCGCUUUUGGAGCGGCCGAUGUCGGAUUAGCUAGUUGGUGGGGUAAAGGCCCACCAAGGCGACGAUCCGUAGCGGGUCUGAGAGGAUGAUCCGCCACACUGGAACUGAGACACGGUCCAGACUCCUACGGGAGGCAGCAGUGGGGAAUUUUGGACAAUGGGCGCAAGCCUGAUCCAGCCAUGCCGCGUGAGUGAAGAAGGCCUUCGGGUUGUAAAGCUCUUUCGGUGGGGAAGAAAUUGCUUGGGUUAAUACCCUGAGUAGAUGACGGUACCCGCAUAAGAAGCACCGGCUAACUACGUGCCAGCAGCCGCGGUAAUACGUAGGGUGCGAGCGUUAAUCGGAAUUACUGGGCGUAAAGCGUGCGCAGGCGGUUUUGUAAGUCAGAUGUGAAAUCCCCGGGCUCAACCUGGGAACUGCAUUUGAGACUGCAAGGCUAGAGUGUGGCAGAGGGGGGUAGAAUUCCACGUGUAGCAGUGAAAUGCGUAGAGAUGUGGAGGAAUACCGAUGGCGAAGGCAGCCCCCUGGGUCACUACUGACGCUCAUGCACGAAAGCGUGGGGAGCAAACAGGAUUAGAUACCCUGGUAGUCCACGCCCUAAACGAUGUCAACUAGGUGUUGGGAGGGUUAAACCUUUUAGUGCCGUAGCUAACGCGUGAAGUUGACCGCCUGGGGAGUAC
rnacentral:rRNA from 1 species